GGCUCCAUCGUCUAACGGCUAGGACGCGGCCCUUUCAAGGCUGAAAUAGGGGUUCGAUUCCCCUUGGAGCCACCC
rnacentral:tRNA from 4 species